rnacentral:rRNA from 1 species
UACGUAUGGUGCAAGCGUUAUCCGGAUUUACUGGGCGUAAAGGGAGCGCAGGCGGCGCGCCAAGUCUGAUGUGAAACCUCGGGGCUCAACCCCGGGCAUGCAUUGGAAACUGGCGGGCUGGAGUGCCGGAGAGGUAAGCGGAAUUCCUAGGGUAGCGGUGAAAUGCGUAGAUAUUAGGAGGAACACCAGUGGCGAAGGCGGCUUACUGGACGGCAACUGACGCUGAGGCUCGAAAGCGUGGGGAGCAAACAGG